rnacentral:rRNA from 1 species
UCUGGGCUACCUAAAACACACCCAUUCUUGUCUGAUUUUGGCACCUAAGCAGGGGAUGCUUAGUACUUGGCUGGGAGACCAUCAAGGAUCUCCUGGCAGGGCCAGGA